CUUUUCCCUUUUCCUUCUUCAUCUCUCAUCUCGUUUUCGAUGUGGGAAGCUCAGGAGCUUUCACUUAACAUGAAGAAAGCUCUCAAACCCCGGCAUAGAAUUCUACCAGGUAGUUACUCAUCUGCCUCAUCAUAUUGUAGCCAAACUGAAAGCUUGAAGCAUCAAGGCUUUGAAGUUGGGGGUGGUGAUGAUGAUGAUGAUGAUGAUGAUGAUGGGGAGAAAUCGUCUGUGAUGCAGAGUUCGACUUGAUGUGAAUUAGGUGCUAUCCUACCUGAGCUCUUAUUCUUCGCUUUCUUUUCUUUCAUCAUUAUUCCUUCAUCCAACCAUUACCUUCUUCUUGACCUUGUAAGACCUUUUCUUGACCUUGUAAGAUCUCACGCCGGGUCUGUUGUCUUUCUCCCCCAAAUUCUAACACACUCUGCACCGGAAUUCCCCGAUGUAGAGUUUGGCCUCCGCUUCUCCCUGUUCCCGCCAUACCCUUCUUCUCCUUCCUUGUCUAUCCCUCCUGAGCUGUUCGAAACUAUAUGUACGUAUACAAUUCUGUCACACCCUGAAACCAAGACGAGUAUGAACUAAUCAGAUUAAGGUGUGAUAUAGCUAGGCACCAAUGCUAACUAGUCUGUAAUUCUGGGAAGGACUGAGAUGAUGAAGAUGUUAAUUGUAAAUGUGGUCCUCCCAUAGUAGCUAAGAGAGGUGUGAAGAAAGGUGUAGUACUAGCAGAAUAUUAAUGACAUAUAUAUGAUUCUAUCU